UACGGGGGGUGCGAGCGUUGUCCGGAAUCACUGGGCGUAAAGGGCGCGUAGGUGGUUUGAUAAGGGUGUGGUGAAAGCCCGGGGCUCAACCCCGGGUCUGCCGUGCCGACUGUCAAACUCGAGGGCUGUAGAGGCAGACGGAAUUCCGGGUGUAGCGGUGGAAUGCGUAGAGAUCCGGAGGAAGACCGGUGGCGAAGGCAGCCCCCUGGGCUAGCACUGACGCUCAGGCACGAAAGCGUGGGGAGCAAACAGG
rnacentral:rRNA from 1 species